rnacentral:tRNA from 1 species
UCCCUGAUGGCUCAGAUGGUAAAGAAUCUGCCUGACAUGCAGGAGACCUGGGUUCAAUCCCUGGGUGGGGAA